rnacentral:rRNA from 1 species
GACGAACGCUGGCGGCGUGCUUAACACAUGCAAGUCGAACGGUAAGGCUCCAGCUUGCUGGGGUACACGAGUGGCGAACGGGUGAGUAACACGUGGGUGACCUGCCCUGCACUUCGGGAUAAGCCUGGGAAACUGGGUCUAAUACCGGAUAGGACCGCACCGUGAGGGUGUGGUGGAAAGUUUUUUCGGUGUGGGAUGGGCCCGCGGCCUAUCAGCUUGUUGGUGGGGUAAUGGCCUACCAAGGCGGCGACGGGUAGCCGGCCUGAGAGGGUGGACGGCCACAUUGGGACUGAGACACGGCCCAGACUCCUACGGGAGGCAGCAGUGGGGAAUAUUGCACAAUGGGCGGAAGCCUGAUGCAGCGACGCCGCGUGGGGGAUGACGGCCUUCGGGUUGUAAACUCCUUUCACCAUCGACGAAGGGUUUCUGACGGUAGAUGGAGAAGAAGCACCGGGCUAAC